UAAAUUUAGACCAAUCACAAACAGAGUUCAAAUAUUGAACUCGCCAAAGUGAGGCUGGAUGCUCGUGUGACCAGAGCCUCCUCAUCGUGUCCUCACUUUUAUCACAAGAGGCCGUGCACCCAGGGUACUGUUUUCCUUGCGAUCUUGUCAAUCAUUAAUUGUUUUGACGUAUACAGAUUACAGUAUAUAAACAUUUAGUACACAAAGAGCCUAUACUGCGAUUUCCAGUUGAGUAUGGAAUUGCGAAAGUUUGUUCGUCAAGUUUUGUCGUUUGAAAACAAUGUUUGUGACAUCAUUCUAUAAUGUUGUCCAAGUAAAAUACUGCCAAGUUUCACGACUAUAAAUAGAAACUUUAUUUCGUUUUGUAAUGAUUGACAGUUUUUAACGGUUUUUACUUGACAACAUUGUGUGCUCGCCUGGUAACAUUAUAGAACGACGUCACAAACAUUGUUUUCAAACGACAAAAGUUAACGAACAAACUCUACGAACAAACCUUCGUAAUUCCAUACUCAAGUGGAAAUCGCAGUAUCAUGGACACUAAAGCCUGCAUUAUUUCCAUAUAUGGUCGUAAAAAUAGAGUCAACGGCCAGUUUAUAAUAGUUAAUAGUUUAUACCUGUAAGCCACAUAUUAUUCUUGACAAAAUUACGACAUUUUAAACCAUAGUAUAUAGCACGUGAAAUAGAUAUUUGGAUUUACCGGGUUGUAAAAAACAUACAACCUCUCGUCUUUGGGUGUAAUUAUGUUUCCGC